AUGCACAUCAUUGCACUUAUACGGUCUGAUAUAACUCGUCCAAUUUUCUCUUACCAACUAAAAUUGUUUACUUGUUGUUUUAUUAUAGUGUACUGGGAUGACACAUUGAGAAUAACUGGCCUUAUAAUCAUGUCUGCUAGAAACCUGGAAUCGUCAGCUAAAGAUUAA